AUUGAACGCUGGCGGCAUGCCUUACACAUGCAAGUCGAACGGCAUCGCGGGAAAGCUUGCUUUCCUGGCGGCGAGUGGCGAACGGGUGAGUAACACAUCGGAACGUACCGGCUAGUGGGGGAUAACCCGUCGAAAGACGGGCUAAUACCGCAUACGCUCUUCGGAGGAAAGCAGGGGACCUUUGGGCCUUGCGCUAGUCGAGCGGCCGAUGUCCGAUUAGCUAGUUGGUGGGGUAAAGGCUACCAAGGAGACGAUCGGUAGCGGGUCUGAGAGGACGAUCCGCCACACUGGGACUGAGACACGGCCCAGACUCCUACGGGAGGCAGCAGUGGGGAAUCUUGGACAAUGGGGGCAACCCUGAUCCAGCAAUGCCGCGUGGGUGAAGAAGGCCUUCGGGUUGUAAAGCCCUUUCGGCAGGGAAGAAAUCGGCGGGGCGAAUAACCCUGCUGGAUGACGGUACCUGCAGAAGAAGCACCGGCUAACUACGUG
rnacentral:rRNA from 1 species